GCCGAAAUAGCUCAGUUGGUAGAGCAACUGAUUUGUAAUCAGUAGGUCGCUGGUUCGACCCCAGUUUUCGGCU
rnacentral:tRNA from 1 species